rnacentral:lncRNA from 1 species
CCAGCCCCCUCCGCAUCCCAGCGCCCUGCUUACAGCCCCACGUCUCGCCUGCGCCGAGCACCUCCGAGCCGUCCGCCGCCCGCCCUGCGCGCCGAGUGCCGCCGCCGCCAGCAGGGGCCAUUCCGGGCACCCAAGGUGGACUCCGACCAAUCAUGACCUCCUAUGAUGCAGAGCAAUUACAGAGCCUGGGAGGCGGCGAGGAUGAGGACUCAGAGCAGAGGCCGUCACAAGGAACACUGGUUAUCAAGCCAAGCAAUCACGGUGAACACACCGGAGAACUAGUCAUGGAUUAGCCUCCAGCAAAGGAAGGCCCUGGUGUCAUAUCCUGGACCAGGAUCCAGUUUUCUAGUUUAAAGAACGUGGACAUGGCAGUGAGCCAUCUUGGAUCAGGAAAAUGAACGGUGGAGCAAGAGCAUAAAAGGAGGCUGGAUUCUUGGAUGAUCUCACACAGUGCCCAUCUUCAGACUAUGAGAGAGAAAUAAAUUAUAUCCUGUAUAAGUCACAGCUAUUGGAGGUUUUUGUCACGUGCAACCAAAUCCAUAACCCAACUAAUGCAGAACAUCUUCCCUCCUGCUUUACACCAUGAACAGACAAAAAUUGAAGAUGGAUCAAGAAAGAUCUAAAUGUACCAUUUACUUUUCACAAUAAUCACAGUUUGGAGACUCCAUUGUUCAGAACUAAUCUAUCGUAAGAACCUUAAAGAUUCUGACUGCAGCAUUAUUAUGACAACAAAUGUUUGUCAAUACAGGAGUAGAUAAAUGUAGUCUUGCAUGCUC